rnacentral:rRNA from 1 species
GGUUGCAAAAGAAGUAGGUAGCUUAACCUUCGGGAGGGCGCUUACCACUUUGUGAUUCAUGACUGGGGUGAAGUCGUAACAAGGUAACCGUAGGGGAACCUGCGGUUGGAUCACCUCCUUACCUUAAAGA